rnacentral:rRNA from 1 species
ACGGUGGAAUGAGCGGCGGACGGGUGAGUAACACGUAAAGAACCUGCCCAUAGGUCUGGGAUAACCACGAGAAAUCGGGGCUAAUACCGGAUGUGUCAUCGGACCGCAUGGUCCGCUGAUGAAAGGCGCUCCGGCGUCGCCCAUGGAUGGCUUUGCGGUGCAUUAGCUAGUUGGUGGGGUAACGGCCCACCAAGGCGACGAUGCAUAGCCGACCUGAGAGGGUGAUCGGCCACACUGGGACUGAGACACGGCCCAGACUCCUACGGGAGGCAGCAGUAGGGAAUCUUCCACAAUGGACGAAAGUCUGAUGGAGCAACGCCGCGUGAACGAUGAAGGCUUUCGGGUCGUAAAGUUCUGUUGUAAGGGAAGAACAAGUGCCGCAGGCAAUGGCGGCACCUUGACGGUACCUUGCGAGAAAGCCACGGCUAACUA